UGGGCGUAAAGCGCACGCAGGCGGUCAAUUAAGUCAGAUGUGAAAGCCCCGAGCUUAACUUGGGAAUUGCAUCUGAAACUGGUUGGCUAGAGUCUUGUAGAGGGGGGUAGAAUUCCACGUGUAGCGGUGAAAUGCGUAGAGAUGUGGAGGAAUACCGGUGGCGAAGGCGGCCCCCUGGACAAAGACUGACGCUCAGGUGCGAAAGCGUGGGGAGCAAACGGAUUAGAAACCCUUGUAGUCCCCGCUGUAAACGAU
rnacentral:rRNA from 1 species